GUGAAUCACAGGUCGGCGGGAGCCUUUUUUCCUUUUUUUUUUUUUCCCGGGGAGUCGGCCUCGGGGCUCUGCUCUCCUACCUCAGUCUGCCCUACCCUGGAAUGGGGAAAAUGCGGACAUGCCACUCAGUCCGGCCGCGAACAGUGCUCCAGAACUCAGAGAGUUUUCCAGACGGGUGGAGAUCGCGUUCCCUGCCCGCCGAGGUCCCAUCGCUUCCCUGCUGGGAAGACAAAUGAGGCGCUUUAGCCGUCUCCACGGCCAGCCCCUCCCUCAUAACCCGAGAUUCUUUGUGGGCUCUUAGUCCAUAGCUGCCUUUGAGGUGGUGUAGACCUUGCUAACCAGGACGGCCCAGUAGGCAGAGCUCAUUUUUAUUCCUGUCUGCAAUCGUGCAAAAACGCCUCUUAUGGAAAAGCCAGAGCGCCAGGAGUCAGCAAAACACACUAAAGAUUGGGCAGUCACUGGGGAGAACACUCAGCCCGCCUGCACCCAGGUGAAAUAUACAGCCUUGUUGCUCACACAAAGCCUGUUUGGUGGUUUCUUCACACGGAUGCAUGUGACAUUUGGUGCUGAAGACCCAGGACAGGAGGACUCCUUUGGGAGACCAGUGCCCUGUUGUCGCCCUCACUCCGUGAGGAGAUCCACCUAUGAUCUCAGGUCCUCAGACCAACCAGCCCAAGGAACAUCUUGCCAAUUUCAAAUCGGGAGUGUCAGGCCUCUGAGUCCAAGCUAAGCCAUCAAAUCCCCUGUGACCUGCACGUGUACAUCCAGAUGACCUGAAGCAACUGAAGAUCCACAAAAGAAGUGAAAGUAGCCUUAACUGAUGACAUUCCACCAUUGUGAUUUGUUCCUGCCCCACGCUAACUGAUACCAUAUAUUCUUCCCCCGCCCUUGAGAAUGUACUUUGUACACCUAUCCCAAACCUAUAAGAACUAAUGAUAAUCCUACCACCCUUUGCUGACUCUCUUUUUGGACUCAGCCCGCCUGCACCCAGGUGAAAUAAACAGCCCUGUUGCUCACACAAA
rnacentral:lncRNA from 1 species